AUGAACGCUAGCGGCAGGCUUAACACAUGCAAGUCGAGGGGUAGAAGGAGCUUGCUCCUUUGAGACCGGCGCACGGGUGCGUAACGCGUAUGCAAUCUACCUUUUGCAGAGGGAUAGCCCAGAGAAAUUUGGAUUAAUACCUCAUAGUAUGUGAGGAUGGCAUCAUUUUCACAUUAAAGUCACAACGGCAAAAGAUGAGCAUGCGUCCCAUUAGCUAGUUGGUAAGGUAACGGCUUACCAAGGCUACGAUGGGUAGGGGUCCUGAGAGGGAGAUCCCCCACACUGGUACUGAGACACGGACCAGACUCCUACGGGAGGCAGCAGUGAGGAAUAUUGGACAAUGGGCGCAAGCCUGAUCCAGCCAUGCCGCGUGCAGGAUGACGGUCCUAUGGAUUGUAAACUGCUUUUGUACAGGAAGAAACCCUUUCACGUGUGGAAGAUUGACGGUACUGUAAGAAUAAGGAUCGGCUAACUCCGUG
rnacentral:rRNA from 1 species